UACGUAGGGGGCAAGCGUUGUCCGGAUUCAUUGGGCGUAAAGAGCGUGUAGGCGGCCAGGUAGGUCGGUUGUGAAAACUGGAGGCUCAACCUUCAGAGGUCGACCGAAACCAUCUGGCUAGAGUCCGGAGAGGAGAGUGGAAUUCCUGGUGUAGCGGUGAAAUGCGCAGAUAUUAGGAGGAACACCGGUGGCGAAGGCGCCACUCUGGCCGAACUGACGCUGAGGAGCGAAAGCGUGGGUAGCAACAGGA
rnacentral:rRNA from 1 species